GACGAACGCUGGCGGCGUGCCUAAUACAUGCAAGUCGAACGCUUCUUUUUCCACCGGAGCUUGCUCCACCGGAAAAAGAGGAGUGGCGAACGGGUGAGUAACACGUGGGUAACCUGCCCAUCAGAAGGGGAUAACACUUGGAAACAGGUGCUAAUACCGUAUAACAAUCGAAACCGCAUGGUUUUGAUUUGAAAGGCGCUUUCGGGUGUCGCUGAUGGAUGGACCAGCUGUGCAUUAGCUAGUUGGUGAGGUAACGGCUCACCAAGGCCACGAUGCAUAGCCGACCUGAGAGGGUGAUCGGCCACAUUGGGACUGAGACACGGCCCAAACUCCUACGGGAGGCAGCAGUAGGGAAUCUUCGGCAAUGGACGAAAGUCUGACUGAGCAACGCCGCGUGAGUGAAGAAGGUUUUCGGAUCGUAAAACUCUGUUGUUAGAGAAGAACAAGGAUGAGAGUAACUGUUCAUCCCUUGACGGUAUCUAACCAGAAAGCCACGGCUAACUACGUGCCAGCCGCCGCAGUAA
rnacentral:rRNA from 1 species